rnacentral:rRNA from 1 species
UACGAAGGGGGCUAGCGUUGUUCGGAAUUACUGGGCGUAAAGCGCACGUAGGCGGCUAUUUAAGUCAGGGGUGAAAUCCCAGAGCUCAACUCUGGAACUGCCUUUGAUACUGGGUAUCUCGAGUAUGGAAGAGGUGAGUGGAAUUCCGAGUGUAGAGGUGAAAUUCGUAGAUAUUCGGAGGAACACCAGUGGCGAAGGCGGCGUCCUGGCCUGCGACUGACGCUGUGGCGCGAAAGCGUGGGGAGCAAACAGG